CAGUCGCCACGGGAAUACGGAGGGAGCUAGCGUUGUUCGGAAUUACUGGGCGUAAAGCGCGCGUAGGCGGUUACUCAAGUCAGAGGUGAAAGCCCGGGGCUCAACCCCGGAACUGCCUUUGAAACUAGGUGACUAGAAUCUUGGAGAGGUCAGUGGAAUUCCGAGUGUAGAGGUGAAAUUCGUAGAUAUUCGGAAGAACACCAGUGGCGAAGGCGACUGACUGGACAAGUAUUGACGCUGAGGUGCGAAAGCGUGGGGAGCAAACAGGAUUAGAUACCCCCGUAGUCCCUGUCUCUUAUAA
rnacentral:rRNA from 1 species